UUGCAAUUUAACCCUAUGUUCUAUAUCAUCCAUGUCGACCAUGUUUGUCGCAGGCGGGUCAUUGACACAUUUUGAAAACUAUUUCCUCGAUUAUUAUUAGGCUAUUAGUUUGGUUAAAUUUGAUCAAGAGUUUCAAAGGAGAUUAUUUUUUUAAAUUAACGGAAGACAAAUAAAAAACGAUAGAUGACGAAAUACGACGGACUCCAAAUGAUGAAAAAACUCACGUUGGUGCCUAUAGGCCGGAUGAGGUAAAAAGGGCAUGGUAAUAAAUGAAAGCGAAGCGUUAACAAUAUCCUGUAAAUGGGGAUGUCCGUCCAGAAAAGUUUGUAACUUCUGUUGUGACCACUUAAAGAAGGGAUGUACUGGUGGAACUUGUACGGGUGGAUGGAUUAAAAAAUGUGAAUGUGAAUGUCCUUCUGGAUAAAAGAAACAAGAUAUCCAAAAAAUAUGAUCCGAUAUCAGCGGUAGAUUUAUAAAUUGGUAUGAGUUCAUCCUAAGUACAUGCAGAGAUUUAGAAGAAGUCUAAAUUAAUGAUCAUAUUUUUUGCGAUCCCCUUUUUCGUUGUGCAAAUAAAAUAGAUUUUG